rnacentral:rRNA from 1 species
AACGAACGCUGGCGGCAGGCUUAACACAUGCAAGUCGAACGCCCCGCAAGGGGAGUGGCAGACGGGUGAGUAACACGUGGGAACAUGCCCAAAGGUACGGAAUAUUCUCGGGAAACUGAGAGCAAUACCGUAUGUGCCCGAAAGGGGAAAGAUUUAUCGCCUUUGGAUUGGCCCGCGUCGGAUUAGCUAGUUGGUGGGGUAAAAGCCUACCAAGGCGACGAUCCGUAGCUGGUCUGAGAGGACGACCAGCCACACUGGGACUGAGACACGGCCCAGACUCCUACGGGAGGCAGCAGUGGGGAAUCUUGGACAAUGGGCGCAAGCCUGAUCCAGCCAUGCCGCGUGGAUGAUGAAGGCCCUAGGGUUGCAAAAUCCUUUCGUUGGGGACGAUAAUGACGGUACCCAAAGAAGAAGCUCCGGCUAACUUCGUG